CAUCGAUACACUUCCAAACUUUUUUCAUAGAACACCAACACUCUUGAAAUUUUCUUGCGCCAUAACCCUAAAAACCCAAAUCAAUAUAUCCAUCCCCAAAUAAGUUGCUCCUUGUUUCAUUUUCAUGCUAUAGAUUUAUUUUCUAUUUCAUUCUAGUUUUGUAUUUCAUUUGACCAUUCAUAAUCCAAAUCAAAUUUUGUUUUUCACCUCAAAACCCCAAUUGACAUUCACCUACAAAACUUGAAUCGAUUCAACUAUCUUCAUCAAAAUCAAUUUCUAAAGUCACUACCGAAAUUGAUUCUUCUCCUUCCUAAGAUCGUUCUUAUUUUUGUUUUGAAGUCGACGGGACGAGUUUGAAGUAUGCAUUACCCUCUCUUUUUGUUAUCCCUCGGUUCAACUGCGAUCCAACUUCGGGGAAGCUGAUAAUGCAAAAAAUUUUUAGCAUUGCUUCUUCAAAUAGUCAAGUAACACUCUCAAUUGGAGUUAACCCGAGUUACCGCCACCUGCGCCUUCAAAUGUGUAAUUAUAUUUUGAUUUUCUUCUAAUUGUUUUAUACAAUGUUUUACUUGGUUUUGUUUAUUUAUUUUACUUAUAUUUUUGAAUUUGGAUGUAUUUUAUAGACAUGUUGAGUUUGUAAAAAAGAGGAUUCUUCUUUUGGAAAAGGGGCCUCAAUGCUGAGUACUAGAAAGAAUACUUUAAAGCUUUCCGCCCCCUCAAGAUAGGACCAUGGUUGUUGCGUACCUUGCUAAAGUUGCUCAGAACAUGGGUUUUCCUAUUGCAGAAUAUAUGGAUGUAAUUCUGUUGAAACAUCUAAAGUCAGAGCUCUUGUAGGCAAAGUUUGUUGUCAUCUAAUUUCAUUAUAGUUAAAUAAACUAAUUAUUUUAUUAUUUUUCUAGACUUAUACUUCUAAGUGUUGAAUUUAUAGUAUUAAGUAAUGUUAGACAUUUUGUGUCUAUUGUGUGUAAGUAUUAAACUUUAAAAAAUCAUGUAUUUUGUCAUUUUGUUAGAUUUUAUUAACACAACUUUUAUGGUACAUGUAAUUUAUGAUUGGUGUAAUUCUAGUUUGAGUUGUUUAUUUUCUAAAAAAUAUUCCUAAAUAACUUAUAGAAACAUUUAUCAAAUGCUCUCACUAUUUCGAAAAAAAAAAUUUAAAUAACCAUGUUUAAUAAAAAAAUUACCAAAAAAAUCAUGUUUUCGGGGUAUUUAUCAAAAUGUCUAGGUUUG